CGCUGGCGGCAUGCCUAACACAUGCAAGUCGAACGAGACCUUCGGGUCUAGUGGCGCACGGGUGCGUAACGCGUGGGAAUCUGCCCUUGGGUUCGGAAUAACUCAGAGAAAUUUGAGCUAAUACCGGAUGAUGACGAAAGUCCAAAGAUUUAUCGCCCAGGGAUGAGCCCGCGUAAGAUUAGCUUGUUGGUGGGGUAAUGGCCUACCAAGGCGACGAUCUUUAGCUGGUCUGAGAGGAUGAUCAGCCACACUGGGACUGAGACACGGCCCAGACUCCUACGGGAGGCAGCAGUGGGGAAUAUUGGACAAUGGGCGCAAGCCUGAUCCAGCAAUGCCGCGUGAGUGAUGAAGGCCUUAGGGUUGUAAAGCUCUUUACCAGGGAUGAUAAUGACAGUACCUGGAGAAUAAGCUCCGGCUAACUCCGUG
rnacentral:rRNA from 1 species